CCUACGGGCGGCAGCAGUGGGGAAUAUUGGACAAUGGGGGGAACCCUGAUCCAGCCAUGCCGCGUGUGUGAAGAAGGCCCUCGGGUUGUAAAGCACUUUCAGUGAGGAAGAACGCCUGGUGGUUAAUACCCAUCAGGAAAGACAUCACUCACAGAAGAAGCACCGGCUAACUCCGUGCCAGCAGCCGCGGUAAUACGGAGGGUGCGAGCGUUAAGCGGAAUUACUGGGCGUAAAGCGCGCGUAGGUGGCUUGAUAAGCCGGUUGUGAAAGCCCCGGGCUCAACCUGGGAACGGCAUCCGGAACUGUCAAGCUAGAGUGCAGGAGAGGAAGGUAGAAUUCCCGGUGUAGCGGUGAAAUGCGUAGAGAUCGGGAGGAAUACCAGUGGCGAAGGCGGCCUUCUGGACUGACACUGACACUGAGGUGCGAAAGCGUGGGUAGCAAACAGGAUUAGAUACCCUGGUAGUC
rnacentral:rRNA from 1 species